UUUGUUUGCCUUUAUUUUAAAUGUGACUGAGACGCUGACGUCGCUGCUGGCGUCAACGGCACAAACGCGUCGCUUGCGCUUACUCACAAUCAAAUCUCACGCCGCAUUUUUAGUCUCAAUUUGUUUGUGCUUCAAUAAUAACUGAAACGUAAAACUCACGCGGCUAAAGCGACGAAUCCGUCAACCAGCGGCAACCCAACAACAACAAGAAAUAAAACAAGCAAAAGGCAAACCAAACGAUACGAAUGCCGAAGCAAAGCGUGUGUGUAACAUAAAUGCAAAACGUGCAAAUCAAGCAAAGUGUGCAAAAUAAGCAAGCCAAAGGAAAAAAAA